ACCCCUGCCAGGCCCAGCAGCCACCACAGUGCCUGCUUCCUCGGCCCUGAAAUCAUGCCCCUAGGUCUCCUGUGGCUGGGCCUAGCCCUGUUGGGGGCUCUGCAUGCCCAGGCCCAGGACUCCACCUCAGACCUGAUCCCGGCCCCGCCUCUGAGCAAGGUCCCUCUGCAGCAGAACUUCCAGGACAACCAGGUGAGGGCCGACAUCUCCUGGGGGUGUGAGAGUCAGACUGAUGUCACAGACAAGGGAUGGCCAAAGCUGAGGGAUCCUGUCAUUCACCUCACUGUUCUGCCCAGAAUUCAUCUGUGUUCAUCCUUCCUCUGUUCCUUAGAGCAACGUUUAUAGCACAUUUGCAUGCAGACACACAGACAGUGGUGGGGAUGGACACGCACAGUCGUUAGAAAACAAGAUGGAGAGAGGAGGGGUG
rnacentral:sRNA from 1 species